UCCGAUAUGGUGUAAUGGCUAACAUCCGACGCUCUCACUUACAAGUAAGGGUCCGUCGAGCUCGGGGUUCGAUUCCCCGUAUCGGAG
rnacentral:tRNA from 1 species